GUGAGAGAUGGGGGGAGACAGCCUAUAGAUCAGGUAAGUGAGGAAUGGGGAGAGACAGCCUAUAGAUCAGGUAAGUGAGGGAUGGGGAGAGACAGCUCAUAGAUCAGGCAAGUGAGGGAUGGGGAGAGACAGCCUAUAGAUCAGGCAAGGGAGGGAUGGGGGAGAGAUGUCUAUAGAUCAGGUAAGGGGAGGGAUGGGGAGAGACAGCCUACAGAUCAGGCAAGUGAUGCAUGGGGGGGGAGAGACAGCCUAUAGAUCAGGUAAGUGAGGGAUGGGGGGGAGAGACAGCCUAUAGAUCAGGUAAGUGAGGGAUGGGGGGAGAGAAAGCCUAUAGAUCAGGUAAGUGAGAGAUGGG